CACCGGUGAGCAUGAUGACCAGCCCGACACCACACACCACUGGCUCAGAAUACAGACUGAAGCCCAGCAACAGGGCCCAGAACAUCAGGAUUACAAUGGUGGCAGUACACUGCAAGACAAAGAGAGAUCGAGAGAUCGAGAGAUCGAGAGAGAGACAGAGACAGAGACAGAGACGAGAGGGAUGUGCCUCAAUCCAAAGGCAGCAUUCCUGUGGAUUGAGACACAGCCUAGAAGACAUUUUUCCCAGGGUUGACCCCUCAACUCUAUUCCA